AAAGAAAAUCCCCAGGAGACACCGUCCAGCAGACGGGCGUGGCCAGGGCGUACGUGUCCCGGUGUUCAUUUCCAGGCAGCGUCUCGGGAUUCGCGACGUGAAUCACGCUCCUGUUUGACAUGUAAACAGCAGUAAAAGCCGGUGUCUUUCUAAACACCGAGAGAUUAAAUGUCGCCGAACCUGAUGGGCCAGUGCACGCCCCCCAGGAGGAGAGGUUCGGCUUUUGGAAGAUCUUUGCCGCUGGGAGCAGCUUCCCUGGGAAACCCCCCUGGCGAGCCUCGGUGUGACCCGGUGUCGGCGGGCAGGGAUUUGCCUGUCUUGGGCCUCUGCGAUGCCCCAGCAAGCCUCGAUUCCGGGACGUGUUGUAAUUUUAGUUUGUUAAUGAGCUUGCCUGUGUGCCCAGCACACACUGUGUGUGUGCCUUGGGGAUUGGCAGUGCAGGCUGGUAAUCCUGCUAACCUGGCUCUGGCAGGUGGUGACAACUCCUUUAAUUGUUCUAGGAUUGAGAGCUGGCUUCUUGCUAUGCACAGGGACUGGCUGUGAAUGAGUAAAAUGAGGGAGAAAAUUAUUGGUGCUAAUAAUUCUUUUCCAGUCUGCCUUGAUGGUGGCUGUGAGCAGGCUCCCCUCUGCAAGCUCAGGCACCGCACUGGACCUGUCAGCUGUGGGACCCAAGGUUCAGGUUUGCUGGGACAUAAAACUGCGAUAAAAACGUUUAUAUUCCAGUAAGCGACACCUCUCUGAUAGUUAUUUAAAGUCUCUGUCUGCAUUGUUCUAGAACUAUUUCCUUUUUCCUCUAAGCAACCUCGAGUAGGAAGCUGACGGUCCCUCAGGUAACCCGCUUUCACCUCGCUGGAAGCCUUGCCUGAUGUUGGGUUGAAGGCCAGCAGAACCCGCAGAGGAUACUCCAGAGUGCAGCAGACAGCAGAGAUGUGCAUUGCUGGAAUCCAGAGGGUUUCGUAAUUUGGCAGCCACUUGCUGAAAGCCCUGCAGAUACAAAACAACACUUAUUUCAAGUCUUGAGAAACAUCUACCAAGUAGAAGAAAAAAGCAUUUAGAGCGUGUUUCACCUCUAUGUGCUGACGAGAUCAGAAGUGCAGUGUACCAGCAUGGCUGCGACUGUGUUGAAAAAUGCACACCGAUGCUUUUAGAAAUACAGGUGCAGAUUUCAUGCAAUUGUCUCCUUAAGCUGCUGAGUGGUACCAUGGGACACAGAGCCCAGCUUCAGAGACAGGAGGAGGAAGGUGGUUUGGGUUUACUGGGUGGGGUAAGGCGGGGAACAGAAAGCCUGGUGUGACUCCCUGAGGGAAUCCCAAAGAAUCCCAAAUGCCUUCAGAGCCAGAAGCUUGAUAGCUUGUGUUUAACCCAGUCCUUGUUUUUGAAAGGGAGUUGACAGACGAGUGCUUUCUUUUAGCUGAGCUUUCAGAAUAUGCUUAUUUUAAGUUUGUUGUUUGAUGCAGUGGGAUCCUCAAGCUGUGUGCAAAACGCACGAAGGAGAUGACCUUAUUCAGUGUGAUGAUUUUUCUUUCACUGCUACAUAUGUAAAAGUGCUUGGAAAUCUAUUAUCCAGGCGACAUAAAACUAGCUUUUUGACAGGCUGCUCAUCCUGCUAACACCUGGCAAGUGCAGAGGCCUGACUACU